AGUCGUUUCUGUGAGCCCGAGGCGGGCGGUGUGUGUGUGUGUUAACUUACGUGUGUUGUGUUACGUGUUUUGUUUGUGUCCUGUAGGUACGUCUCAAACGUUACGAGAUUUACAUUUGAGUACUGUGAAUCUGAUGUUGUAAUGUGAGUGGUGCAUUGGGUGAAACAGCGCAUCUAAUGGUGUUUUGAUGUAAUGCAUUACACACAAGGUAAGUAGCUGUUACAUUAAAAAAGUGUAUAAUAAGAAAUUAAAUAAAUUAUGUAGGCAUUUGUACUUUUA
rnacentral:misc_RNA from 1 species